UACGUAGGGUGCAAGCGUUAAUCGGAAUUAUUGGGCGUAAAGCGCGUGUAGGCGGCUUUGCAAGUCGGGUGUGAAAGCCCUCGGCUCAACCGAGGAAGUGCGCCCGAAACUGCAGAGCUUGAGUGCCGGAGAGGAUGGCGGAAUUCCCCAAGUAGAGGUGAAAUUCGUAGAUAUGGGGAGGAACACCGGUGGCGAAGGCGGCCAUCUGGACGGUCACUGACGCUGAGACGCGAAAGCGUGGGGAGCAACCAGG
rnacentral:rRNA from 1 species